rnacentral:rRNA from 1 species
ACAGAGAGCUUGCUCUCGGGUGACGAGCGGCGGACGGGUGAGUAAUGUCUGGGAAACUGCCUGAUGGAGGGGGAUAACUACUGGAAACGGUAGCUAAUACCGCAUAACGUCGCAAGACCAAAGUGGGGGACCUUCGGGCCUCAUGCCAUCAGAUGUGCCCAGAUGGGAUUAGCUAGUAGGUGGGGUAAUGGCUCACCUAGGCGACGAUCCCUAGCUGGUCUGAGAGGAUGACCAGCCACACUGGAACUGAGACACGGUCCAGACUCCUACGGGAGGCAGCAGUGGGGAAUAUUGCACAAUGGGCGCAAGCCUGAUGCAGCCAUGCCGCGUGUAUGAAGAAGGCCUUCGGGUUGUAAAGUACUUUCAGCGAGGAGGAAGGCGUUAAGGUUAAUAACCUUGGUGAUUGACGUUACUCGCAGAAGAAGCACCGGCUAACUCCGUGCCAGCAGCCGCGGUAAUACGGAGGGUGCAAGCGUUAAUCGGAAUUACUGGGCGUAAAGCGCACGCAGGCGGUCUGUCAAGUCGGAUGUGAAAUCCCCGGGCUCAACCUGGGAACUGCAUUCGAAACUGGCAGGCUAGAGUCUUGUAGAGGGGGGUAGAAUUCCAGGUGUAGCGGUGAAAUGCGUAGAGAUCUGGAGGAAUACCGGUGGCGAAGGCGGCCCCCUGGACAAAGACUGACGCUCAGGUGCGAAAGCGUGGGGAGCAAACAGGAUUAGAUACCCUGGUAGUCCACGCCGUAAACGAUGUCGACUUGGAGGUUGUGCCCUUGAGGCGUGGCUUCCGGAGCUAACGCGUUAAGUCGACCGCCUGGGGAGUACGGCCGCAAGGUUAAAACUCAAAUGAAUUGACGGGGGCCCGCACAAGCGGUGGAGCAUGUGGUUUAAUUCGAUGCAACGCGAAGAACCUUACCUACUCUUGACAUCCAGAGAACUUAGCAGAGAUGCUUUGGUGCCUUCGGGAACUCUGAGACAGGUGCUGCAUGGCUGUCGUCAGCUCGUGUUGUGAAAUGUUGGGUUAAGUCCCGCAACGAGCGCAACCCUUAUCCUUUGUUGCCAGCGGUUCGGCCGGGAACUCAAAGGAGACUGCCAGUGAUAAACUGGAGGAAGGUGGGGAUGACGUCAAGUCAUCAUGGCCCUUACGAGUAGGGCUACACACGUGCUACAAUGGCAUAUACAAAGAGAAGCGACCUCGCGAGAGCAAGCGGACCUCAUAAAGUAUGUCGUAGUCCGGAUUGGAGUCUGCAACUCGACUCCAUGAAGUCGGAAUCGCUAGUAAUCGUAGAUCAGAAUGCUACGGUGAAUACGUUCCCGGGCCUUGUACACACCGCCCGUCACACCAUGGGAGUGGGUUGCAAAAGAAGUAGGUAGCUUAACCUUCGGGAGGGCGCUUACCACUUUGUGAUUCAUGACUGGGGGAAG